rnacentral:rRNA from 1 species
ACCUGUUUAUUAAUUGAUAAUCCACGAUUAAUUUUACUUAUUUUAUUAAUUCAUAUAUCGCUGUCAUGAAUAUAUUUAAAAAUUUAUUUUCUAUAAUUAAUAUUAUAAUUUAUGUUAAGUCAAGAUGUGGUUUAUUUUUAAGAUUUUAAUGGGUUACAAUAAAUUUUAUUUAUGGAUUUUAAAUGAAAAUUAUAAUGAAAUUGGAUUUAAUAGUAAAUUUAUUUAUUUAAUUAAAAUGAAUAUAGAUCUAAGAUAUGUACAUAUUGCCCGUCAUUCUUAUAAAAAAUAAGACAAGUCGUAACAAAGUAAAUGUCCUGGAAAGUGUAUUUAGAAAG